rfam:Streptomyces xiamenensis strain 318, complete genome.
GCCACUGCUGACCAGUGGCGCCCUGACACCGGUACCUGACACGGCCGGUGCAG